ACUGGUUUUAAUAUGAACUUGAUUGGUGUCUUGUAACUAACGUUAUCCAUAGAUGACGUUUCACCCAUUCAACCCGAAUAUUCAAAAACAUUUACGUUAGUUGUCGCAAUGACAGGCCCGUGUUCCAAUACAUGACCCCGGAGGAAUGCUUUGGUGAAGCCGAGGUGCGUGUCGCAUCCUUUGGGCAGAUAUGGAAGGAAUGUGUUGUCACUGCUGGCAUCUGCUCCGACCAGCCGCCUCUGAGAAGAAGAUAACAAACACAGCGGUCCGGAGAGGAGGAAGAGGAGGAGGAGGAGGAGGAGGAGGAGGAGGGAGAAGGCAUUCUGAGCUGGGGCCGUUGGUGGGAGGAGCAGGCAGGCAGUUGGGUCACACACACCACCAGCGCAGGAGCCUCAAGUGCAGACAGCUGGGAAGACGGACAGCAAGAGAGAGAGAGAGAGAGAGAGAGAGGUAGGGACAGACAGAGAGAGAGAGAGAAAGAGAGAGAGGACACCAAGGGAAAAGCAGAGAAGAGCCUCAGGUUUCAGUCUUAGCCCCGUGGAACACACACGCACACACACACACAGACACAUACACACCCACACAUCCAUGGACCGAACGGCGUGACUGACAGACAGACUGACAGUCCGCCAGAAAUAGUCAUACAGGGAAAGAAAACUGCGAAAGAUAGGCCGGCCACGCACACACACACACACACACUUGGAAACAGUGUUCAUUUUUGACUUUGUAAGAGAGGUGUGCAGACGGGAGCCCGAGCUGUUGGACUGGAGAAGAAGGAGAGGAGACACCCUGGGGAGACCCCUCCACCCCCCCCCCCCCCCACAACACCAGCACUUCCUCCAGCAGCGAGGGAGAGACCAAGAGGAACAGAGAGG
ensembl:lncRNA